GGUUUUCUCAUAUGUACACCCAUAAUAAUUCCCAAAUUACGGUGGGAGCAAAGCAUCUCAAGAAAAAUGAUAACCAUAUUCAUCAAAUACUGGUUGCAGCAGCUUACUGGGCAGCGCUCUGGGCUUUUUAAUUUAUUCCUCUGGAGAUCUCAUUGUGGAGUAGAUUGAUACCUAUUUUUUCAGUAGUUCUUCUAGGAACCCCCUUGAGAGACAUCAGAUCUUUUAGUAGCUUACUAGCUGACAACCAGCCUGAUGAGUUGAAGACAUGAUCCCCAAUCAACAGAAAACUUUUGAUUUGUUGAAGAUUGUUAUUUGUCUUCAAAGACCUGGAAAGCCAGACAAAGUCUUCCAGGAAGUAAUAGACUUUUGAAAGCUUCAGUAGAUGGUAAUCAAGAGCAUACCAAAUGAUCACUGAACCACAAGUUCAUAGGAGCAUGUGAGAUACUUUAACUGAUCUGUAUGGCAUGUUUGUCAUGCUGAAGUUAAAGAAUACUGGUUCAUUUUACUGGAGAACUGUUAAGUAAUAUGUUCAUAUAAAUCUUCAUGGCUGCUGAAAGGUAGCUUGUCUUUUAUGUCACCGCCACGACUGCUGAAACACACCACCCACUGCCUCACUGUGCUCACAUCCUCUCUUUGGUCUCCAUAAAUGUUCAGCAAGUGUCAGUAAACAUCAACAGG
rnacentral:lncRNA from 1 species